rnacentral:lncRNA from 1 species
UUGAAUGCACAAGCACAACAGGUGUUUAGAUUGAAUAUAUUGUAAAACUUUGAUCCAUUUAUCUUUCCAAACUUAAAUAUUUUCCUCAGAUGUACUAUUAAUGAAUUAAGAAAAGAAAGAAACCCUAGAUGUGGCAAAACAUUGACAGAACCAUGGUGCCAAGAAACAAACAGAAUUUCUAAAACGACAAACAAACUAAAGGUAAAUGAUGCGAUUAAGCACCAAGAUUCCUCAGCUCAAUGAUUUGAUUCACAAGCGAUUGCCUCACGAACCUCACAAGAUCUCUCAAUCUCUCUGAACACUCAAUGAAUACUAAAUCGCGCAAGUAAAGAAACGAACAAGAGUAAGAACAGAGCACACAGGUUUUGAUUACCCAGAGUUCACCAUCGAUAUGGUAGGCUACGUCUCUGGAGUCAGACUCAGUCCGGCAAAUCCACUAAUCACGAAGGAAUCUAGCUCUCUCUCCGAGAAGCUCCGAUGAACAAAAAACAAGAUGAGCAUUGACCAAGACUCAUGGUUAUUGACCCUUUAUAUACUAGGACCUUACAAAUAACCGGACUAAACCAGGAAUACACCAACUAAAUCAAUCAGCCGUUAACCAGGACUAAUUGAGAUAACCGAUGCCCUGAGUCCACAUAACCAGAAUCCGGUCAACGUCAAGAAAUGCAAUAAGAUUAGACCAAAUCUCAA